UGCGCAGGCGGGCUAUUAAGUCAGUGGUGAAAUCUCUCGGCUCAACCGAGAAACUGCCAUUGAAACUGAUAGUCUUGAGUAUGGUUGUGGUAGGCGGAAUAUAGCAUGUAGCGGUGAAAUGCUUAGAUAUGCUAUAGAACACCGAUCGCGAAGGCAGCUUACCAAGCCAGUACUGACGCUCAUGCACGAAAGCGUGGGUAGCAAACAGGAUUAGAUACCCUGGUAGUCC
rnacentral:rRNA from 1 species